UACAGAGGGUGCAAGCGUUGUUCGGAAUUAUUGGGCGUAAAGCGCGUGUAGGCGGCUUUGCAAGUCGGGUGUGAAAGCCCUCAGCUCAACUGAGGAAGUGCGCCCGAAACUGCAGAGCUUGAGUACCGGAGAGGAUGGCGGAAUUCCCCAAGUAGAGGUGAAAUUCGUAGAUAUGGGGAGGAACACCGGUGGCGAAGGCGGCUCACUGGACUGGUACUGACGCUGAGGCGCGAAAGCGUGGGGAGCAAACGGG
rnacentral:rRNA from 1 species